CAUUAGCUGAUGAGAUGCUAACAUUCAAACGUGUUGUGUCGUUCAAAUGCGGUGGAGUUUCUCUCAGAUGUCUACGAAGUCUCUUCCUAAAAGCUGGGUAAACGAGCGUCAGAAAUGGCGGUGUUUUAUAUUAGUGCACGCUGCAGCUCGAUUGUCGCAUCUUCAUAAGCGGAGGAAGUGUUGGAACGCCAGAAUGGAUAUGAUCACGCGAGAAGCAUUGUAUCUUGACUGGCUUUGAAUAGCAUGGAUACAGGAGGUCCGUGUGCAGUCCCCAAACUCCACAACCCAGCAUUUCGCAGUAUGAUCAGCUGAACUGGAGUACAUCAGCUUAUUCACCACCUGAAAUAGUAACAGGCGUCAUUAUUAUUAUCUUCAGAGAACAAGAGAAUGAGAAGAGGAAAUACAACCAGAGAAUAAUCAACGUAGAGAUGGGAACUUUUACACCACUAGUUUUUGGCACAAAUGGAGGCAUGGGGGUAGAUUGUAAGAACUUUCUAAAAUCCCUUGCAGAAAAACUGUCUAUUAAGAACGGCGAGGCUUAUGCCAGUGUAAUCUCUCACGGAUACGUAUCGAACUUUCUUUCGCAAUUUUAAGAACUGUUCACAAAUGUCACGUGAGGUUCAAGAUUCCCGUUCAAAUCACGCGAUGUUUUAAAUGAUAAUGAUUUUAUUUUGCCCAUAGCAGAUGUUAUGUAAGACCGCCAUAUAUAUAUAUAUAUAUUUUUCUAUUUUUCUCUUUCGCAUAAUUUUUUUUACUAUUUUUAAUUUUUUUUAAUAUUUUUAAAUCUUAUUGCUAUCAAUUUUAUAAACAAAUUUUUUGUUAAUCAUAUUUUAGAUUAUGUUAUAUAGUGAAUUUUAAUAAAAUUUAUUAUUUUAU